UUUCCGUAGGUGAACCUGCGGAAGGAUCAUUCAUAAUAAAGUGUUUUAUGGCACUUUUUAAAAAUCCAUAUCCACCUUGUGUGCAAUGUUGGAUCUCGUCAAUCUUGGCGAGAUUUUUAUACAUCAACUCAUUCUUUAACUAAUUAGUCUGAAAAAUAUUAUGAAUACUUAAUUCAAAAUACAACUUUCAACAACGGAUCUCUUGGCUCUC
rnacentral:misc_RNA from 1 species